rnacentral:rRNA from 1 species
UACGAGGGGGGGCGAGCGUUGUUCGGAAUUAUUGGGCGUAAAGGGUGCGUAGGCGGUUUGGUAAGUCUGAUGUGAAAUCUAUGGGCUCAACUCAUAGUCUGCAUCGGAAACUGCCGGGGCUUGAGUAUGGGAGAGGUGAGUGGAAUUCCUGGUGUAGCGGUGAAAUGCGUAGAUAUCAGGAGGAACACCUGUGGCGAAAAGCGGCUCACUGGACCAUAACUGACGCUGAUGCACGAAAAGCUAGGGGGAGCAAACAGG